UACGUAGGGGGCGAGCGUUGUCCGGAUUUAUUGGGCGUAAGAGCUAGCGUAGGCGGUUCGAUAAGUCGGACGUGAAAUCUCCAACGCCUCAACGUGGAGGGGCCGUUCGAUACUUGUCGUGACUCGAGUCCGGUAGGGGAGUGUGGAAUUCCCGGUGUAGCGGGUGCAAAUGCGCAGAGAAUUCGGGAGGAACACCCGUAGCGAAGGGCGGCAACUCCUGGGCCGGGUAUGGACGCUGAGGAGCGAAAGCGUGGGGAGC
rnacentral:rRNA from 1 species